CGCCAAGUCAAGGGAGUGACCACGAGAGCGCCCACACCAUAUGCAGGUGCCCACAAUACAUCAGGGCAACGACAAUGACGCUUAUGACGAUGACGAAUAAGCGCAUUCCAGACCACGCAAUCUCUUUUCGCCCCCAUGAUGCAGCACAUAGAGGUUUCUUGGACUGAAUAUACUGUAAAAGAAACCCUGGCUCCAUUCAUCUCGAAGAAAUCAGUCAUCUCAGCAGCUGAAGAAGAUUGCGCCAUGAGCAGUGAAGAGCCUAAAUUUCGCAAUGAGAAAAGUGUAUCAACACUCACGUUGCAAUAAUCAAACCACUAUUACAUUACUUUGAUACUUUGUUUUACAGUGGGUUGUAAAUAGGUCUCCAUAAAUGGUACUACACUCACUUACGCUU